rnacentral:rRNA from 1 species
CGCAAAGGACUGUCAUCGUUGAUCAUCCUCUUGGCUUGGAGCAUAUGGAAGCAUCGUAACAGUGCAAUCUUCGACGAAGGCCUGGUCUCGGUGAGCAAUCUCGUGGCUUGCAUCAAGGACGAUGCUAGGUUGUGGACGACGGCUGGCGCCAAAGGACUUGAUCGUAUAAUCCCUGUAACCCGAUCUCCUGUUUUGGGGCCGAGCACCCCCUUCUUCUGCUCACCAAGCUCUCCUAUUGACGCUUGUUAG